rnacentral:tRNA from 2 species
GAAACAGUAGCUCAGCGGUAGAGCACCGGAUUGUCAGUUUUUCGAUUACCCCUCGGGUCAAGUUAGACUUACUUCAAUUUAAGGGAUCCGGGGGUCGUUGGUUCGAAUCCAACCUGUUUCU